UGGGGAAUAUUGCACAAUGGGCGCAAGCCUGAUGCAGCCAUGCCGCGUGUGUGAAGAAGGCCUUCGGGUUGUAAAGCACUUUCAGCGAGGAGGAAGGUGGUGAACUUAAUACGUUCAUCAAUUGACGUUACUCGCAGAAGAAGCACCGGCUAACUCCGUGCCAGCAGCCGCGGUAAUACGGAGGGUGCAAGCGUUAAUCGGAAUUACUGGGCGUAAAGCGCACGCAGGCGGUUUGUUAAGUCAGAUGUGAAAAUCCCCCGGGCUCAACCUGGGAACUGCAUUUGAAACUGGCAAGCUAGAGUCUCGUAGAGGGGGGUAGAAUUCCAGGUGUAGCGGUGAAAUGCGUAGAGAUCUGGAGGAAUACCGGUGGCGAAGGCGGCCCCCCUGGANGAAGACUGACGCUCAGGUGCGAAAAGCGUGGGGAGCAAAACAGGAUUAGAUACCCUGGUAGUCCACGCUGU
rnacentral:rRNA from 1 species